rnacentral:tRNA from 1 species
AGAUUGAGGGAAUCGAACCCACAGUGUUCCGCUUACCGGGCAGAUGCCAUGUCCACUAGGCUAC